UACAGGGGGUGCAAACGUUGCUCGGAAUCAUUGGGCGUAAAGCGCACGUAGGCGGUUUGUUAUGUCGGAUGUGAAAGCCCUUGGCUCAACUGAGGAAGUGCAUCCGAAACUGGCAAGCUAGAGUACUAAAGAGGGUCGCGGAAUUCCCGGUGUAGAGGUGAAAUUCGUAGAUAUCGGGAGGAACACCAGUGGCGAAGGCGACUCACUGGACACGUAUUGACGCUGAGGUGCGAAAGCGUGGGGAGCAAACAGG
rnacentral:rRNA from 1 species